UGCAACAAGCUUGGUCUGUU
rnacentral:misc_RNA from 1 species